CCUACGGGAGACUGCAGUAGGGAAUCUUUCACAAUGGGCGAAAGCCUGAUGGAGCAACGCCGCGUGCAGGAUGAAGGCCUUCGGGUUGUAAACUGCUUUUAUAAGCGAGAAAUAUGAUGGUAACUUAUGAAUAAGGAUCGGCUAACUACGUGCCAGCAGCCGCGGUCAUACGUAGGAUCCGAGCAUUAUCCGGAGUGACUGGGUGUAAAGAGUUGCGUAGGUGGCAUAAUAAGUAGCUAGUGAAAUCUGGUGGUUCAACCAUUCAGACUAUUAGCUAAACUGUUAAGCUCGAGACCGUUAGGGGUAACUGGAAUUUCUAGUGUAGGAGUGAAAUCCGUAGAUAUUAGAAGGAACACCAAUAGCGUAGGCAGGUUACUGGGACGGGUCUGACACUAAGGCACGAAAGCGUAGGGAGCAAACGGGAUUAGAUACCCCAGUAGUC
rnacentral:rRNA from 1 species